GUAUGCAGCACACUCACCUGGCAG
rnacentral:misc_RNA from 1 species